UACAGAGGGUGCGAGCGUUAAUCGGAAUUACUGGGCGUAAAGCGUGCGUAGACGGUUAUUUAAGUCGGAUGUGAAAGCCCCGGGCUCAACCUGGGAAUUGCAUUCGAGACUGAAUAGCUAGGGUACGGUAGAGGGGAGCGGAAUUUCCGGUGUAGCGGUGAAAUGCGUAGAUAUCGGAAGGAACAUCAGUGGCGAAAGCGGCUUCCUGGACCAGUACCGACGUUCAGGCACGAAAGCGUGGGGAGCAAACAGG
rnacentral:rRNA from 1 species